GCAAUUUCCAUUUCCAAUUCUUGGUAUAGGAAAGGUGUUAGUUCAUGUUACUUGUUAGAUGCAGAGACUAAUGAGAGGAGGAUAUGGUUUCCGAAUAUCAAUACUGAUGAAGUUUCUAGAAGCUUAUUUUAUAAUAAGGAUACUGAUUUACUCAUCAUUAUUUCAGUUUAUGCUUCAUAUAGUAUAAAACCAUUGGGUACUUUAGUUUUUCAUUCCGUUCUCACCGUCUCUUUCUCAUGCAUCACUUCCUUGAACUAUUUCAGUUACAUGACCAGACAUUGUUGAAGUGGCCCAGUUGUUUGGAAU
rnacentral:lncRNA from 1 species